GGAAAGUAGCAAUACGAGUACUAGUGGCGCACGGGUGAGUAACGCGUGGGUAAUCUUCCCCAGAGUGUGGGAUAACCAGUCGAAAGAUUGGCUAAUACCACAUAAGACCACAGGAUCUGCGGAUCUAGAGGUAAAACGUUUUUGGCUUUGGGAUGAGCCCGCGUAGGAUUAGCUAGUUGGUAGGGUAACGGCCUACCAAGGCUUCGAUCCUUAGCUGGUCUGAGAGGAUGAUCAGCCACAUUGGGACUGAGACACGGCCCAAACUCCUACGGGAGGGAGCAGUGGGGCAGUUGGCUCAGAACGAACGCUGGCGGCAUGGCUCUUCACGAACGCUGGAAGCCCACUCCUACGGUUUCUUCUAUCUGNCGGAAAACUCGAGCCAUC
rnacentral:sRNA from 1 species